GAUGAACGCUGGCGGCGUGCCUAAUACAUGCAAGUCGAGCGAACAGACGAGGAGCUUGCUCCUCUGACGUUAGCGGCGGACGGGUGAGUAAAACGUGGAUAACCUACCUAUAAGACUGGGAUAACUUCGGGAAACCGGAGCUAAUACCGGAUAAUAUCUUGAACCGCAUGGUUCAAUAGUGAAAGACGGUUUUGCUGUCACUUAUAGAUGGAUCCGCGCCGCAUUAGCUAGUUGGUAAGGUAACGGCUUACCAAGGCAACGAUGCGUAGCCGACCUGAGAGGGUGAUCGGCCACACUGGAACUGAGACACGGUCCAGACUCCUACGGGAGGCAGCAGUAGGGAAUCUUCCGCAAAGGGCGAAAGCCUGACGGAGCAACGCCGCGUGAGUGAUGAAGGUCUUCGGAUCGUAAAACUCUGUUAUUAGGGAAGAACAAAUGUGUAAGUAACUAUGCACAUCUUGACGGUACCUAAUCAGAAAGCCACGGCUAACUACGUG
rnacentral:rRNA from 1 species